ACCACCCCGUCGAUAGGCCGCCCGUGGACGUGCCGCAAGGCACUCCGAGCGCAGCGGUCCUAAUCGCCCGUGCGGCUUGACUA
rnacentral:rRNA from 1 species